GAUGAACGCUGGCGGCGUGCCUAAUACAUGCAAGUCGAACGCACAGCGAAAGGUGCUUGCAACUUUCAAGCGAGUGGCGAACGGGUGAGUAACACGUGGAUAACCUGCCUCAAGGCUGGGGAUAACAUUUGGAAACAGAUGCUAAUACCGAAUAAAACUUAGUAUCGCAUGAUACAAAGUUAAAAGGCGCUACGGUGUCACCUAGAGAUGGCUCCGCGGUGCAUUAGUUAGUUGGUGGGGUAAAGGCUUACCAAGACGAGGAAGCAUAGCCGAGUUGAGAGACUGAUCGGCCACAUUGGGACUGAGAAACGGCCCAAACGCCUACGGGAGGCUGCAGUAGGGAAUCUUCCACAAGGGGCGCAAGCCUGAUGGAGCAACGCCGCGUGUGUGAUGAAGGCUUUCGGGUCGCAAAGCACUGUUGUAUGGGAAGAAAUGCUAAAAUAGGGAAUGAUUUUAGUUUGACGGUACCAUACCAGAAAGGGACGGCUAAAUACGUGCCAGCCGCCGCAGUAA
rnacentral:rRNA from 1 species